AUUGAACGCUGGCGGCAGGCCUAACACAUGCAAGUCGAACGAGUGGCGGACGGGUGAGUAAUGUCAGGGACACUGCCUGAUGGAGGGGGAUAACUACUGGAAACGGUAGCUAAUACCGCAUACCAUCGGAUGUGCCCCGAGGGGAUUAGCUAGUAGUUGGGGUAAAGGGUCACCUAGGCGACGAUCCCUAGCUGGUCUGAGAGGAUGACCAGCCACACUGUAACAUGGACACGGUCCAGACUCCUACGGGAGGCAGCAGUGGGGAAUAUUGCACAAUGGGCGCAAGCCUUAUGCAGCCAUGCCGCGUGUAGGAAGAAGGCCUUCGGGUUGUAAAGUACUUUCAGCGGGUAGGCGUUACCCGCAGAAGAAGCACCGGCUAACUCCGUGCCAGCAGCCGCGGUAAUUC
rnacentral:rRNA from 1 species